GCCUGCACGAAGUUGGAAUUGCUAGUAAUCGCGGAUCAGCAUGCCGCGGUGAAUACGUUCCCGGGUCCUGUACACACCGCCCGUCACACCAUGGGAGCCGGUAAUACCCGAAGUCAGUAGUUUAACCCUUGUGGAGGACGCUGCCGAAGGUAGGAUUGGCGACUGGGGUGAAGUCGUAACAAGGUAGC
rnacentral:rRNA from 1 species